GUGAGCGCGGGCUUGAGACCUGCUGAGCAGCGGGACCUGGCGGCUGGCGUUCUGGUGUGGGGCCGAGAACAGACCCUUCUUCUGAAAAGCCACUGGCCCCUUGUUCUAUGAAGUCGAUUUCUCAUUGUCUUCACCAAUCUUCUGAACCCGUGAAUACUUUUUGCAUGAUGAUUUGAAGCAGCCAGGAGGCCAAGACAGCGGCCAGGAGAAGCAGCAAGGAAUUGAGCCUUGUACAUUUUUCUCAAAAAAAUAAAAGAUGGGGAACCACCAUGCUCGAGAUAAGAAAUUAGUCUGUGAAGAGACCUUCAAGUUCUGUAAAUGGUAGAAAAAAAUUUAAAUGAGACAUAUCUUUCUCAAUUUGCAUCCCAAUUAUUUUCUUAAAUUGUCAUUCACUGUAACCUAGGGAAAACAGAAUUCAGAAUCACAUGGCAGUAAUGAUUUUCAUGUCCUUUCCCUAACUCUACCAUGACUCCGCUCCCCUAACACACCUAGGUGUCUUUCUUUCCUUUGUGGCUCAUGCAAUUUCUUCUGCCUGCAAUUCCAGUAAGAAUGGAGACUCUGGGAAUGGAUUUCAGAAUUAUUCAGGAGGAAUAAUUUUCAGGAUGUGUGAGUGAUCAAAUCUAGGGGCCAAGCAAGUCAAAGAGUGAAAGAAGAGCUCAGAAGUUGAACACAUUUAAGAGGAAAGAUGAAAAUUUUGGUUCAGUGGUGUCAGUAGUCAACUAGAUGGAAGUGUAAGAAGGAAGAUGGAAAUGGGAGACUACAAAAUAGGAAACAGAGCUACAAAGAGAAAUAAAGUAAUCCAAAGAAAGAGCAUUUAUUAGUGGACACCAAGAGUUGGACGUAGAUCCUUUGGAAAUGUAAUAUUUCAAUUGCUCACAAAUUCUCCAAAUUGACAAUAUGGCAAGUCUAUUCAAAGAUAAGUAAGUCAUGGUACACAGACCAACUCUAUUACACCAAGGACACAUACCAAGACUAGGAGAAAAGAGAGACUGGGAGGAAUAAUUCUGCCUUCGGACCAGAGGAAGAGAGCAAGAGUUAGAGACAGCUUCCUGGAAGAGGUGGCAUUUGAGCUAGCUCUUUAAGUUUCAAUGGGAGAAGAAAGAAAAGGCAUCUGGAAACAAGGAAGCAGCAGUAGCAAAUGAGGAAGAAUCAGAAGGGAAGCCAGAGAGCACCAUUAUCACCAGAGGAUAUACCAAAUCCAGUCAUUCAUAAGCUAUUUAUUUUGUGUGAUUUUAAACAAUAGCUGCUAUCGGCUGGGCACGGUGGUUCACGCCUAUAAUCCUGGCACUUUGGGAGGCCGAGGUGGGAGGAUCACCUGAGGUCAGGAGUUCAAGGCCAGCCUGGCCAACAUGGUGAAACCCUGUCUCUACUAAAAAUACAAAAUAAAAAUUAGCCAGGCGUGGUGUCGUGCACCUGUAAUCCCAGCUAUUUGGGAGGCUGAGGCACAAGAAUCGCUUGAACUUGGAAGGUGGAGGUUGCAGUAAGCCAAGAUUGCACCACUGUACUCCAGCUUGGGCAAUA
rnacentral:lncRNA from 1 species